GUAANAUCUUCCGCAUGGGCGCAAGCCUGACGGCAGCGACGCCGCGUGGACGAUGAAGGCCGAGAGGUUGUAAAGUCCUUUUCUUGGAGAAGAAUAAUGGGGGGAGUGGAAUGCCUCUCANAUGACGUUAUCCAAGGAAUAAGCCCCGGCCAAUUACGUGCCAGCAGCCGCGGUAACACGGUAUGGGGCGAGCGGUUGUUCGGAAUUAUUGGGCGUAAAGGGCGCGCAGGCGGUUUUGUAAGCCUGGUGUUAAAGGCUCUGGCUUAACCAGAGUUGAGCGCUGGGAACUGCAAGACUCGAGUUCUGGAGGGGGAGCUGGAAUUCCAGGUGUAGGGGUGAAAUCUGUAGAUAUCUGGAAGAACACCGGUGGCGAAGGCGAGCUCCUGGCCAUGAACUGACGCUGAGGCGCGAAAGCGUGGGGAGCGAACAGGAUUAGAUACCCUGGUAGUCCACGCUGUAAACGAUGUGCACUGGGCGUUGGGGCUGUUAGAGAGCCUCGGUGCCGUAGUUAACGCGUUAAGUGCACCGCCUGGGGAGUAUGCCCGCAAGGGUGAAACUCAAAGGAAUUGACGGGGGCCCCNCACAAGCGGNGGAGCAUGUGGUUUAAUUCNAUGAUACGCGANGAACCUUACCAGGGCUUGACAUGUACCCCGAUGUCUCANANAUGAGGCANCCUNUUUGAGGCNGNNACACANGUCCUGAUGGCUG
rnacentral:rRNA from 1 species